CCUUUUCCGGAGGCAGAGGGUGUGGCCUGGGAGGAUACCCUGGGUCGGACGGUGCCUGAAAGGCGGAGGAGCCCGCCGCCCGCCCGGCGAGUCAGGCAGAUGCGCCAUGGCCACGGGAGCCCUUCGCCUGUCCAGCUCGGUGCUCCUGCUCGGUUUCAUCAGCUGCCAGAGCUUACUGCGUUAUGGAAGUAUAGGUGGGAAUAUCACUUUGUCGCCAUCAAGCACUGUAAACUUUACAGAGAUCAUAUGGAAAAAAGGAAAGGAUAAGAUGACAGAAUGGAGUACAAACCUUGAGGUCAGAACUUACUCCCAUUUUGAAGGGAGGGUUCAUUUAGACCCUAAGUCAGGUAACCUCACCAUCUUCAAUUUAACAUCAUCGGACGAAGAUGAAUAUGAAAUGAAAUCCGCGGAUCUUACAGAUAGCUCUAAAUUUCAUCUUACAGUCCUCGACCCUCUCCCGUCUCCGACACUAAAUUGUACACUGAUGAAUGAGGUCAUCUACGUCAUUUGCGAGGUGCCUCAGAGUUACGGCCGGCAUCGGGAGCUGUUACGCUACAUGUGGCGUUGCCCUUCCCCACAGUGUAAGGGAAGCUGGGAGCUCGAGGCCCUUGUGCUAAAUUUUACGAAGGAGGAUGAUCUCUCACGGGAAGUACAUUGUUUGGUUGAAAAUCCAGAAUCCAACAGGACGGCCUCAAUGGUUUUGUCAACCUGCGUCCCAGGUGGUAAUUCAAGGCAUAGAUACACACUCAUAGGUGUACUAUUAGUAGGAGCAGCCUGUGCAAUUGUGGGCAGACACCUACACGUGGACCAGGAGUGUGGCUCGAGGCUGAGGCUGGUGCCUUGUGGGAAGGAAACGGAUGUGUACCCGUGGGAACGGUACCUUCACACCCAAGCCUGCGCUGCCUGACACAGUAACCACGAACCACGUGUGGCUGUCCAGCCCUGGAAAUGUGGGAGUCCAGCACUCACUGGGCUGUUUUCUGAACUAUGCCAGACGGACGGAAUGAACCACCUCCAGAUGAUGAAAUCAAAUCCUCAGUCACUAACUGAAAACAACUUAAAAUACCUCUGCAGUAUUAGUCUUCCAAAACCUUCCAGUUACCUUAACUGGUAACUUCAUCAGAGUGUUUUGGUGUGGGUUUGGUUUUGUGUUUUUUUUAAGAAAAAAACAAACCAAGGAGAUUACCCCUCCCAGUACUGUGUGGCAGCUAGUCAUCUUACUGUCCCUGGUGCUGUGGCUGCUUUUGUAAAUAAAUGUAAUUAUGUACAGAAACAA